CCUACGGGGGGCUGCAGUGGGGAAUAUUGGACAAUGGGGGGAACCCUGAUCCAGCGACGCCGCGUGAGUGAAGAAGUAUUUCGGUAUGUAAAGCUCUAUCAGCAGGGAAGAAAAGGACGGUACCUGUCUAAGAAGCCACGGCUAACUACGGGCCAGCAGCCGCGGUCAUACGCCGGGGGCCAGCGUUAUCCGGAUUUACUGGGUGUAAAGGGGGCGUAGACGGUGUAGCAGGUCUGAUGGGAAAGGUCGGGGCCUAACCCCGGGACUGCAUUUGAAACUGGUGAACUGGAGUAGAGGAGAGGUAAGCGGAAUUCCUGGUGUAGCGGUGAAAUGCGUAGAUAUUAGGAGGAACACCAGUGGCGAAGGCGGCUUACUGGACUGUAACUGACGUUGAGGCUCGAAAGCGUGGGGAGCAAACAGGAUUAGAUACCCUGGUAGUC
rnacentral:rRNA from 1 species